rnacentral:miRNA from 1 species
CAAUGAUGAUGAUGAUGAUGAUGAUGAUGAUGAUGACGAUAAACGGCAUCAUCAUCCUCUUCUUGAUCCUGCUCC